rnacentral:rRNA from 1 species
UACAGAGGUCCCGAGCGUUGUUCGGAUUCACUGGGCGUAAAGGGUGCGCAGGUGGCGCUUCAAGUUUGAUGUGAAAGCCCCAAGCUCAACUUGGGAAUGGCAUUGAAUACUGGAGUGCUUGAGGUUUGGAGGGGGGACUGGAAUUCUUGGUGUAGCAGUGAAAUGCGUAGAUAUCAAGAGGAACACCAGUGGCGAAGGCGAGUCCCUGGACAACACCUGACACUGAGGCACGAAAGCUAGGGGAGCAAACAGG